rnacentral:rRNA from 1 species
GAUUGAACGCUGGCGGCAGGCCUAACACAUGCAAGUCGAGCGGAUGARGGGAGCUUGCUCCCUGAUUUAGCGGCGGACGGGUGAGUAAUGCCUAGGAAUCUGCCUGGUAGUGGGGGAUAACGUUCCGAAAGGAACGCUAAUACCGCAUACGUCCUACGGGAGAAAGCAGGGGACCUUCGGGCCUUGCGCUAUCAGAUGAGCCUAGGUCGGAUUAGCUAGUUGGUGAGGUAAUGGCUCACCAAGGCGACGAUCCGUAACUGGUCUGAGAGGAUGAUCAGUCACACUGGAACUGAGACACGGUCCAGACUCCUACGGGAGGCAGCAGUGGGGAAUAUUGGACAAUGGGCGAAAGCCUGAUCCAGCCAUGCCGCGUGUGUGAAGAAGGUCUUCGGAUUGUAAAGCACUUUAAGUUGGGAGGAAGGGCUGCUGGUUAAUACCCUGCAGUUUUGACGUUACCAACAGAAUAAGCACCGGCUAACUUC